rnacentral:rRNA from 1 species
UGGGGAAUAUUGGGCAAUGGGCGCAAGCCUGACCCAGCAAUGCCGCGUGGGUGAAGAAGGUCUUCGGAUUGUAAAGCCCUUUCGGCGGGGACGAUGAUGACGGUACCCGCAGAAGAAGCCCCGGCUAACUUCGUGCCAGCAGCCGCGGUAAUACGAAGGGGGCUAGCGUUGCUCGGAAUUACUGGGCGUAAAGGGCGCGUAGGUGGCCUUGUUAGUCAGGCGUGAAAUUCCUGGGCUCAACCUGGGGGCUGCGCUUGAUACGGCAGGGCUUGAGGGUGGAAGAGGCUCGUGGAAUUCCCAGUGUAGAGGUGAAAUUCGUAGAUAUUGGGAAGAACACCGGUGGCGAAGGCGGCGAGCUGGUCCAUACCUGACACUGAGGCGCGACAGCGUGGGGAGCAAACAGG